rnacentral:rRNA from 1 species
CCUACGGGGGGCUGCAGUGGGGAAUAUUGGACAAUGGGGGCAACCCUGAUCCAGCCAUGCCGCGUGUGUGAAGAAGGCCCUCGGGUUGUAAAGCACUUUCAGUGAGGAAGAACGCCUGGUGGUUAAUACCCAUCAGGAAAGACAUCACUCACAGAAGAAGCACCGGCUAACUCCGUGCCAGCAGCCGCGGUAAUACGGAGGGUGCGAGCGUUAAUCGGAAUUACUGGGCGUAAAGCGCGCGUAGGUGGCUUGAUAAGCCGGUUGUGAAAGCCCCGGGCUCAACCUGGGAACGGCAUCCGGAACUGUCAAGCUAGAGUGCAGGAGAGGAAGGUAGAAUUCCCGGUGUAGCGGUGAAAUGCGUAGAGAUCGGGAGGAAUACCAGUGGCGAAGGCGGCCUUCUGGACUGACACUGACACUGAGGUGCGAAAGCGUGGGUAGCAAACAGGAUUAGAUACCCCUAUAGUC